rnacentral:rRNA from 1 species
AUUGAACGCUGGCGGAAUGCUUUACACAUGCAAGUCGAACGACAGCACGGACUUCGGUCUGGUGGCGAGUGGCGAACGGGUGAGUAAUGUAUCGGAACGUGCCCAGUCGUGGGGGAUAACGUAGUGAAAAUUACGCUAAUACCGCAUACGAUCUAUGGAUGAAAGCGGGGGAUCGCAAGACCUCGCGCGAUUGGAGCGGCCGAUAUCAGAUUAGGUAGUUGGUGGGGUAAAGGCCCACCAAGCCAACGAUCUGUAGCCGGUCUGAGAGGACGACCAGCCACACUGGAACUGAGACACGGUCCAGACUCCUACGGGAGGCAGCAGUGGGGAAUUUUGGACAAUGGGCGAAAGCCUGAUCCAGCCAUUCCGCGUGCAGGAUGAAGGCCCUCGGGUUGUAAACUGCUUUUGUACAGAACGAAAAGGUUUCUACUAAUACUAGGAGCUCAUGACGGUACUGUAAGAAUAAGCACCGGCUAACUACGUGCCAGCCGCCGCCAUAA